rnacentral:rRNA from 1 species
ACGGGAGGCAGCAGUGAGGAAUAUUGGUCAAUGGGCGGAAGCCUGAACCAGCCAAGUAGCGUGCAGGAUGACGGCCCUACGGGUUGUAAACUGCUUUUGCGCAGGGAUAAAGAUUGCCUCGGGAGGCAAGUUGCAGGUACUGCGUGAAUAAGGACCGGCUAAUUCCGUGCCAGCAGCCGCGGUAAUACGGAAGGUCCGGGCGUUAUCCGGAUUUAUUGGGUUUAAAGGGAGCGUAGGCCGUGCUUUAAGCGUGUUGUGAAAUGUAGGCGCCCAACGUCUGCACUGCAGCGCGAACUGGAGCACUUGAGUACGCAGGAAGUAGGCGGAAUUCGUCGUGUAGCGGUGAAAUGCUUAGAUAUGACGAAGAACUCCGAUUGGGAAGCCAGCUUACUGUAGCGCCACUGACGCUGAUGCUCGAAAGCGUGGGUAUCGAACAGGAUUAGAUACCCUGGUA